GGAUGUUAGGGCCAUCUGGCUGCAACAUCCGUCACACCACUGGUCUCCAGGGUUGAUUUGGCUGAUUGGGCUGGCUAGACAGGUGUCUCCUUUCUCCCUCACCAUUUCCUAUGCAUCUCUCCUGAAGCUGUGCUCAGUUGAAGAGGAUGACCAUCCCAAUAGAGGAGAACUGUUCUAUCAAGGGUAUAUGAGUAGCUGUGCUCCCCUCCAAACAAGCUCUCACAAACUACAUUUUGUUUUAUUUUGAAAAAAAAUAUAAUACUUCAUAUACUUUUGAAAGUACCAUUAAGCCAAGACUCUGAUUAACUCC
rnacentral:snRNA from 1 species